AUGGAAAUUGGGAUCAACUGGGUUUUUCUUGUUGCAAUUUUAAGAGGUGUCCAAUGUGAACUGCAGCUGGUGGAAUCCGGAGGAGGCUUAGUGAAGCCUGGGGGGUCUCUGAGACUCUCUUGUGCAGCUUCUGGAUUCACUGUCAGUAGCAACUGGAUGAACUGGGUCCGCCAGGCUCCAGGGAAGGGGCUGGAGUGGGUCUCACACAUUAAUAGUGCUGGUAGCACAUACUAUGCCAACUCUGUGAGGGGUCGAUUCACCAUCUCCAGAGACAACUCCAAGAAUGAGCUCUGCCUGCAAAUGAACAACCUGAGAGCCGAGGACACAGCCAUGUAUUACUGUGCAGGAGACACAGUGAGAGUAAGUCAGUGUGAGCCCAGGCAUAAAACUCCCUAUGCACAGUAUGAGUUGGAGCUGGGGGACACCUGA